rnacentral:lncRNA from 1 species
UUCCAUUCUUUAUUAUUCUGUUGGAAUAACCUGUAUACGCGGGCUACCGUAUACUUGGUGAAAUUCUUCUGUUAUUCCAUUCUUUAUUAUUCUGUUGGAAUAUCAUGUCUGUGCGUUUUACGCCGGGCCUGGUCCCGUCUUUAUUAUUCUGUUGGAAUAUCUUGUCUAUGCAUUUUACGCCGGACCUGGUUCCGUCUUUAUUAUUCUGUUGGAACAUCCUGUCGGUGCGAAUUUCGCCUGACCUGGUUCCGUUAUUUAUUAUUUUGUUGGAAUAACCUGUCCAUGCGAAGUACCGCAUGCAUGGUGAUUUCUUUUGUUAUUCCAUUCUUUAUUAUACUCAGUUGGUUAAACUUUUGGCUUCUAUACUCUAUGAAAUUAGUAGAAUAUCUUUGAUAUUUACGCUUCAUCCAGUAUCUUUUCAUGAAAAUAUUUUUCUAAGCAUUCUUAAAUUUUACUCUACAAAGAAGUAUCAUGUUGAAAAUUUGGACGUUAUUAGUUCCUGGACAAAUUAAUUCGUGAACUUGUUUUAUUGAAUUCCUAUAUCAUUGUCAUCAUCCUCAUGUUUAUAUUUUUUGAAAUUCAUCUGUGGCCUGUAGUACAUAGAUGGACUUGGUAUGAUUAUAACCAGAGAUUAUUCGGCGUAAUCAUGAUUGGGAUGUUACAAAUGAUGUGGUAACAGUCCUCAUUGGCCCGUAGUGGAUUGAUAGACAGAUGUUGGCAUGAUCAUGACCAUUGAUGAAUACACGAAUGUCCUUGGCCCGUAGUGCAUGGAAUUUGUGGUCGUGAUACUAAAGAAUAUCCUUGGCCGUAGUGCAGGGGUGAUUCGAUGAUGUGGAUUAUUUAUUAAGCUGAGUCUCAACGAUAAAAGUGAUGAAAAACCUUUUAAAUCAUAAAAGAUAGUAGAUUUUAUUCUCUACUUGACUCUUUUACUGGAUUGCUUGUCCCGCUGUAGUUAAACUUGAUGUCUAUUGUAUUUUAUCAGUUUAACAUUAUUGUAGACUAAUGAUAAUUUAUUAUGCAUUAUCUUAGUCAUAAUAUUUCUUACUGGGCUAGUUGAGCUCACCCUUUCUUUCACUGUUCUCUUCAGGAAAUGAGAAUAUAGCUGGGACGAGUCGGGGAACGGAGUGAUGAACCAGAUGAUAGUAUUAGUAGUCUUCACUAUUCUGUUAAAUAGUGUGACAAUAAAUGUAAUAAGGACUUAUUCUGAGAGUGGAUAUUAUCUUAAAGACAAUAUUUGUAUUAAAACUCGCAGCUCUCUUGUUGUAUAUUAAAGAUUGUAUUUGUAUUCUGUACCAUGUAUUUGGCGACUUAGAAUGGUGAUGUAUACCUAUUUUGGGGGAGUCACAGUUGGUAUCAAAGCUUAGGGAUAUGAUCCCUGGCUAAGAUGUGAGACAAGAACUAGAAGGGGAGAAACAGGGAAUUCCUUCGCUAGUAUGACCUACCUAAGUUUAUUUGGUAUUAAAUUGGUCGGUCAGAGUAUAGAGAUAAUAUGUGAUAUGUUAAUUAACCCUUGUUUUGUGGCAGUAUUUAAAAAUGGCAUCCGAGAAUGUUGAGAACAUCAAUGGAGCACAGGAGACCGUUGAGUCUACACAGAUCAAUAAGCAGGACAAUGUGUAUCAGGAAGGCGACAAUCCUCAUGUAAACAAUAACACUGACCAAAUGAUGAACGAUGGAAUGUUCCGAGGCUUCAUGUAAUUCAUGCAACAUCAGGCGAGAGCGGCUCCUGUCCAAAAUGCAGGUGGAAACACUGGAAACUCUCGGACGGUCACCGCCAAACAGUUUAAGGAGCUGGGACCACCGGAGUUUUUUAGAGAGCCAAAACCUCUUAAGGCGGAGACGUGGAUAAAACAGAUCAACAAGAUAUUUGAUGUCUUGGGUUGCUCCGAGGAGUAAAAGGUUCCCUUCGCCACCUUCAUGUUGUGGGCAGAGGCAGAUUACUGGUGGGAAUCUAUAAAGUGUACCGAACCUGCCGCACUGAAGAUGUCUUGGGAGAAGUUUCAAGAACUGUUCAACGACAAGUACUUUCCCGAAAGUAUUCGUCAUAUAAAAGAGGUAGAGUUCAUUAAACUGGAGAAAAACAACAUGACCGUGUCGCAGUACGAAGCCAAGUUUGUCGAGCUAUCCCGGUUUGUGUCCCAUUUGGUUGAUCAUGAGGAGAGAAUGACGCGAAUGUUUCUAAGAUAUUUGAAACCCGAGAUACGUCAACAUCUUAUCUCUCAUAAACUGUGUUUGUAUUAAGAUGUUGUUAAUAGGGCUCAGUUAUUGGAACGCGAUAACGAGUCAACCCAACCAAAAGAGAGUAGCCGACAAAAUGAUAAUACCAGUGAGAGCAGUCAUCAAAGCGGUGACAACAAGCGUGGAGGGAAUCAGCAUGCCAGAAAUGGUAACCACUUCGAUGGUAAUCAGGGCCAAAGCAAUAAGAAUGGACAUUUCAAGAAGAGGAGAUUCAACAAUGAUGGAAAGACGUCAGCACCAGCACCUGUUGUGAAGGAAGGAGAAUGACCACCUAUUAUAUGCUUCAAAUGUGGAGGGGAGGGACACAUCAGUCCAAACUGCGCGAUGUCGUCCAAAGCAUGUUAUAAUUAUGGAAGAGAAGGUCACCUAACACGAUUUUUUCAUUCACCAAAUACAAGUUUAGCUAGGAUAGAGGCACCAAAGGCCGUCCCAGAAAAGUCAAAGCAGGUAGUGCAAGGGAGAGCAUUUGUUGUGACCUCCCAGAAAGCAAGGAACCCAAACGAGGUCAUCACGGGUAAGCUUAUCAUAAACACUAGCGAAGUCUAUACCUUAUUUGAUACCGGUUCUACCCAUUCUUUUAUUUCUCCUACUUGCGCUCAACGUUUAAAUUUGACUCCAGAGAAAUUAGACUUUGACUUAUCUAUUGAAAAUCUAUUGGGAGAAACCUUCAUUACAUCCAAUGUUUAUAAGUCUCGUUUAGUUCAAAUCGGUACCCUCACAUUACCUGUCGAUCUUAUUUCAUUGAAAAUACUUGCAUUUGACGUAAUUUUAGGGAUUGAUUGGUUAACUACUCAUCAUGCAAAAAUUGAUUGUUUUCGUAAGGUUAUUAGCUUUCAUAUUCCUAACCAACCUAUUAUGCGUAUUCAAGCAACCAAACCAUUAAAAUCAAUCACUAUUAUCUCAAGCCAUAAAGCUAUUCAUUUAUCAAAAAACGGAUGUCAAGCUUUCUUAGCUCAUGUCACGGAUCUAAAUAAAAAUACGUCAGUUUUGAAUGAUAUUUCUAUUGUUAAUGAAUUUCCUGACGUAUUCCCUGAAGAACUUCAUAGUCUACCCCCAGAGCAUGAAAUUGAAUUUUGUAUCGACCUUGAACCCGGUACAAAACCUAUUUCUAAAGCCCCAUAUCGAAUAGCUCUUAUUGAACUUCAGGAGUUAAAGACCCAACUGCAGGAAUUGUUAGACAUCGGUUUCAUUCAUCCUAGUAUGUCUCCUUGGGGUGCUCCUAUUCUAUUCGUGAAAAAGAAAGAUAGGAGUAUGCGACUUUGUAUUGAUUAUCGGGAGUUGAACCAUGUCACCAUUAAAAAUAAGUACCCAUUUCCACGUAUUGAUGACCUGUUUGACCAGUUACAAGGAGCCAAAUUCUUUUCAAAGAUUGAUCUUCGUUUCGGUUAUCACCAAUUGAAGAUUAAAACCGAUGACAUUCCAAAGACGACUUUCAGAACUCGGUACGGGCAUUAUGAAUGCCUAGUCAUAUCUUUUGGAUUGACUAGUGCUCCUGCUGCCUUCAUGGAUAUGAUGAACCGAGUAUUCAAGGAAUAUUUGGAUCACUUUGUGGUCGUCUUUAUUGAAGACAUCCAUAUUUAUUCCAAAAGCCGUGAAGAUCAUGAGCAACACUUGAGGCUGAUACUCCAAAAGCUUCGUGAAUAUAAUCUUUAUACCAAGUUGAAGAAAUGUGAGUUCUGGCUUGAGGAAGUAGCAUUCCUUGGGCACGUAGUAUCAAGUCAUGGAAUAUCUGUUGACCCAGCAAAGAUUGAAGCUAUUCAAAGCUGGGAGCAACCCAAAUCAGUGAUCGAAGUACGUAGCUUUCUCAGCUUAGCUGGUUAUUAUCGGAGAUUCAUGGAAGAAUUUUCUGGAAUCGCUACUCCAUUAACUCAGCUGACUCAGAAAGAUACAAAAUUCGGUUGGAGUGAGGAAUGUGAGAAGAGUUUUCAAGAACUCAAGAGGAGACUCAUUUUAGCACCUGUUCAGAUAAUACCAUCUAGAUCAGAGGGAUUUGUUAUCUACAGUGAUGCUUCGAGCAAAGGGUUAGGUUGUGUUCUCAUGCAACAUAGGAAAGUCAUAGCCUAUGCCUCAUGACAACUCAAAAAAUAUGAGAGGAAUUAUCCUACUCAUGAUCUAGAGUUGGCAGCAGUCGUUUUUGCACUAAAGAUUUGGAGGCAUUAUUUGUAUGGGGAGAAAGUGGAGAUCUUUACGGAUCAUAAAAGCCUCAAAUAUUUCUUCACUCAAAAGGAACUCAACAUGCGACAGCGACGUUGGCUUGAACUGUUGAAAGAUUAUGAUCAUACCAUCCAAUAGCAUCCUGGAAAAGUGAAAGUGGUAGCUGACACAUUAAGUAGAAGAUCAUAUGCGGGUAUAAGUGCGAUAUUGUCAACGCAAAGGCCCAUUUUAUAUGACUUGCAAAGGAUGGAGAUAGAGAUAAAGACUCCAGGGACCCACGUUAUGAUGGCGAAUAUACGAGUAGAAUCGACUUUAAUCGAUAAGGUUAAAGCUGCUCAAGCUACAGACCUGGAGCUGAUGCGUAUGAGAAAGAAAGUGCAAGAAGGUCCUAUGCCGGAAGCAAGAAUCGAUGAAGAAGGAAUACUUCGAGUCAACUCUAGACUUUGUGUUCCUAACGAUCCUGAGUUAAAGUAUAAAAUCAUGAUAGAGGCGCACAACACACCGUUUGCAAUCCAUCCUGGUAGUACCAAAAUGUAUCGUGAUCUUCGACAUACAUUUUGGUGGAGCAAUAUGAAGAGAGAGAUAGCGGGGUUUAUCUCAAGGUGUCUAACUUGUCAACGAGUCCAGGAAGAGCAUCAAGUGCCAAAAGGUCCAUUGCAACCACUUGAAAUUUCAGAAUGGAAGUGGGAGCACAUAACCAUGGAUUUCGUUACUGUGACGCCCCCAAAAUAGGUAUACAUCACCCAUUUUAGGUCGUCAAUAACAUGGUAUAGAAACAACUACAACUUUAUUAAUACAUCAAAAAAUGUGAGUUUAAAUACAAAUAUUGUCUUCUAGCCAAUAUCUAUACCCAAAUAAAUCCUCAUCACAAUUAUUGAUACAUUAUUUUACAAAAAUGGUGAGGACUACUAAACAACUUCUAGAAUCAUCAUUCCAUACCCCGACUAGUACUCGCUACAUUCUCGCCUCCUGAGAAGAAAAAUGGAACAAAAAAGAAAAGGGUGAGCUCAACUAGCCCAGUAAAGAAUAUUAUGACUAAGAUAAUAUAGAACAAAUUAUCGUUAGUNNNNNNNNNNNNNNNNNNNNNNNNNNNNNNNNNNNNNNNNNNNNNNNNNNNNNNNNNNNNNNNNNNNNNNNNNNNNNNNNNNNNNNNNNNNNNNNNNNNNNNNNNNNNNNNNNNNNNNNNNNNNNNNNNNNNNNNNNNNNNNNNNNNNNNNNNNNNNNNNNNNNNNNNNNNNNNNNNNNNNNNNNNNNNNNNNNNNNNNNNNNNNNNNNNNNNNNNNNNNNNNNNNNNNNNNNNNNNNNNNNNNNNNNNNNNNNNNNNNNNNNNNNNNNNNNNNNNNNNNNNNNNNNNNNNNNNNNNNNNNNNNNNNNNNNNNNNNNNNNNNNNNNNNNNNNNNNNNNNNNNNNNNNNNNNNNNNNNNNNNNNNNNNNNNNNNNNNNNNNNNNNNNNNNNNNNNNNNNNNNNNNNNNNNNNNNNNNNNNNNNNNNNNNNNNNNNNNNNNNNNNNNNAUAUCAUCAUUUAGGACUGAGGAUGAUGAAAAAUAUUUUAAAGAAAACGAAUCCAGUGAAACAAAAGAAUAAAUAUUAAGGAUUCGUAUUUCGGUUUAUUCAUGUCCAAGAAUACCUCAAUAAUAAUCUUAAUGGAGUAAAAUUCAAGAAUGAUCAAAACAUGGAUACAAUCAAAGCUAGUAUCCAUAAUAGAUAUUUUGGACGAAAAUGAAAAAAUUUCAUUUUUCGAUGAAUAGUACCGUAUUCGUGAAUAGUGUCGUAUACGUGAAUAGUGUCGUAUACGUGAAUAGUAACCCCAACACAAAAAGUUCCAAAUUUGAUUAAAAGUUCAGAUCAAUACUUCGGCAUAAUGAUAUUGAAAGAAAUAAUAUCAUUUUAAAAAAAAUAAUAUCCCUUACCUCAUAAAGACAGUACUUCUAGUUGAAACACUGGAUAUAGGCUAUGACUUGAACUCGCACCGUAUAAUAACACUCAAAGUAUUAAAAUACUCACAAGAAUAUGCUCAAUAUAUCGAGAGAGAAAGAGAGAGAAAACUUCCGUUUCUGGUGUGAUUUUCAAUUCUAACAUAAGCACCCUAUUUAUAGGAAAAUGCUUAGAACACCAAAGCAGAAAAUUUUAUAAAUUAAUAAUAUAUUUAUAAAAAUUUCUUACGCACACCUAGAAUCUGAUUUCAGCAACCUAACACAUGUUAAAUGAGUCCCAAAAAUGUAAAAAAUGUUUUUCUUAUUAAAAAUAAUUAAAACUUCAAAAAUUAAUUAUUUCGGAGCUUCGAAACUUCAAUAAUUCAUAAUAAAUAGCCCUUUUAUCAGAAAAAUUCGAGCCUCAUGUUGUUUUCAUAGGAAAUUCCAUUAUCUACAACUUUACAGAAGAAAGUUUUUUCAAAUUCCAAACAGAAAUUGACCGAAAUUCACAAACGGGUGAUUUUAUAGGCUAUUAUUAAAUUUCAGUCAAGAAAUUAGCUCACAGACAUGUUUAACAUGUGUUAAACAACUUUUGCAACAAAAAUACUCUUCUUACUCAUAAAUUCAUAUAUCCCACAUUCAUUGUAAAAAUAUCACCAUUAUUAUAUUAUUAAAAUAUAAUAAUAUAUUUAAAUGAAUUAUUUUAUCAGAAAAAAGAUAAAAUAUUAAUUUUCAACAAUUGUCACAUUAAAAAUUUUCUCCAUCUAUAUCCACAUAAAAUCAAUAUUUUCCUCAUCAUAUAAAUCAAUAAUUAAUUAUUCACNNNNNNNNNNNNNNNNNNNNNNNNNNNNNNNNNNNNNNNNNNNNNNNNNNNNNNNNNNNNNNNNNNNNNNNNNNNNNNNNNNNNNNNNNNNNNNNNNNNNUCAAGGCAUAGAUGCGAUUUGGGUCAUUGUUGAUAGAUUGACCAAGUCUGCUCAUUUCUUACCGAUACGAGAAACUUAUACACUUGAACGUCUUGCUAGUAUGUAUAUAAACGAGAUUGUAAGAUUGCAUGGUAUGCCAGUAUCCAUAGUUUCUGAUCGAGACCCAAGAUUUACUCCAAGAUUUUGGGUUAGUUUGCAAAAAGCUAUGGGCACAGAUUUACGAUUUAGUUCGGCAUAUCAUCCUCAGACGGACGGACAAUCAGAGAGGACUAUUCAAACUCUUGAAGAUUUAUUAAGACUUUGUGUCCUUGACUUCAAGGGAAGUUGGGACAAGUUUUUACUAUCGGUGGAGUUUUCCUACAACAACAGUUAUCAAGAAAGUAUUGGCAUUGCUCCAUUCGAGGCAUUGUAUGGAAGAAAGUGUCAUUCUCUAGUAUGUUGGGAUGAGGUGGGUGAAGUAACGUUGUUGGGACCGGAUUUGGUACGUAUGACUACGGAAAAGAUUCAAAAAAUUCGACAAUGUAUAAAAACCUCACAAGAUCAACAAAAGAGUUAUGCUGAUCUUCAUCGAAAGGACGUUGUGACGCCCCCAGAAUAGGUAUACAUCACCUAUUCUGAGUCGCCAAAUACAAAUACAAUCUUUAAAAUACAACAAGAGAGCUGUGAGUUUUAAUACAAAUACUGUCUUCUAGACAAUAUCCACUUUUAGAAUAAGUUCUCAUUACAUUUAUUGUCACACUAUUUAACAGAAUAGUGAGGACUAAUAAUACACCAUCUAGGACCAUCACUCCGUUCCCCGACUCGUCCCAGCUACGUUCUCAUUUCCUGAAGAGAACAGUGAAAGAAAAGGUGAGCUCAACUAGCCCAGUAAGAAAUAAUAUGACUAAGAUAAUGCAGAAAAAAAUUAUCAUUAGUCUUCAACAAUGUUAAACUUAAUAUACAACAGACAUCAAUUUUAACUGCAGCAGAACAAGCAAUCCAUUAAAAGAGUCAAGUAGAGAAUAAAAUCUACUAUCUUUUAUGAUUUAAAAUAUUUUUCAUCACUUUUAUCGCUGAGACUCAGCUUAAUAAAUAAUCCACAUCAUCCCUGCACUACGGCCAAGGAUAUUCAUUAGGGUCACAACCACAAAUUAUCCAUGCACUGCGGGCCAAGGAUAUUCGUGUAUUCAUCAAUGGUCAUGAUCAUGCCAUAAAAUCCCUUGGCCGAAGAGAAUCCAUAGCCAUAAUCAUACCAAAAACUGUCUAUCAAUGCACUACGGGCCAAUGAGGACUUUUACCACAUCAUUUGUAACAUUACGGUCAUGAUUAUACCGAAUAAUCCCUGGCCAUAAUCAUACCAAAUCCAUCUAUACAGUACAGGCCACAAAUGACUUUCAACAUAAUAUAAACAUGAGGAUGAUGACAAUGAUAUAAGAAUUCAAUAAAACAAGUUCAAGAAUNNNNNNNNNNNNNNNNNNNNNNNNNNNNNNNNNNNNNNNNNNNNNNNNNNNNNNNNNNNNNNNNNNNNNNNNNNNNNNNNNNNNNNNNNNNNNNNNNNNNUAAAAUUCAAGAAUGAUCAGAAGAAUAUUUCCAUGAAAAGAUACUGGAUGAAGCGCAAAUAUCAAGGAUAUUCCACUAAUUUCAUGGAGUAUAGAAGUUAAAACUUUAACCAACUUAGUAUAAUAAAGAAUGGAAUAACAAAAGAAAUCACCAUGCAUGCGGUACUUUGCAUAGACAGGUUAUUCAAACAGAAUAAUAAGUAACGGAACCAGGUCAGACGAAAUUCAAACCGACAGGAUGUUUCAACAGAAUAGUAAAGACGGAACCAAGUCCGAUAUAAAACACAAAGACAGGAUAUUCCAACAGAAUAAUAAAGACGGAACUAGGUCCGGUGUAAAACACACAGACAUGAUAUUCCAACAGAAUAAUAAAGACGAAAUCAGGUCCGGUGUAAAACACACAGACAGGAUAUUCUAAUAGAAUAAUAAAGACAGAAUAAUAGAAGAAUGUCACCAAGUAUAGGGUAGCCCACGUAUACAGGUUAUUCCAACAAAAUAAUAAGAAAUGGAAUAACUGAAGUUCUCUUCAUGAAUACAAAAGAAUAAUAUCCCUUACCGUAAAAGCACCUGGAUAUAAGAGUAGUUAAGUAGCAGAAUACUUUUCUUCUUUCUCUCUACAGUUUAUAUCUCUAGAGUUUCAGUGAAUUCGUAAGAAAAUAAUGAAGGAAUGAGCUUCUAUUUAUAGAAAAAUGGACUGCAUAGUAACUAAUCCAUGAACGGUCCAAAUCGAUUUACUUUAAUCUGACGGUCCAUAUUUAAAGCAAAAUCUUUUAAAUAAAAUAUAAUAUAUUCUAUUUAUAAUCUAAUAAAACGAAUAACUUUAUAAAAAAAUUUACUAUGCAAACACUAUACAGGCACUAUACAAACACUAUGCAUAAUAAAAUAUAAUAUAUUCUAAUUAUUGUCUAAUAAAAUAGAUAACUUUAUAAAAGUAUUCUGUUUUAUAUAAAAAGUUUUUUUGUUUUAUUACGUUAAUAAUACGAAUAAAACAAAACUUCGUCAUCAUACAAAAUAUCGACAAUAAUUGAAUCAAACUGAGUGACUUCUCACAUAAGCAUUAAUAAUCAAUACCGUGUGCUACUAUGCAACCACGUGUAUUACUGUACUUUUACUACCGAGUAGUUCAACAGUAUCAACGUUAAAACUUCCGCCGUUAUUUUCAUAAAAAUAUUUUUGUCAUUUUCUCAAUCCGACAAUAAUUCUGUUGUGGGGUCCACCAAUGAUUUUGCUAUCGUACGAAUAUUCCCUGUUAAAACGAAUAUUCCCUGACCAAUCUAAUAUAAUAUGACAACUUGCAUACUUUACAAAAUUUGUAAAUAUUACCCACAACUAUUAUAUCAAAUUAAUUCCAUAAUAUUCAAAAAUGAUAUUUAUAGAAAAAUCAUCUUUAUUCAUAAAAACUGGGGUUUUACAACCUCCCCUUCUUAAGAAAUUUCACCCUCAAAAUUAGGGUAUGUACCUGAUAUGUCGAAGAGGUAAGGAUACUUUGAUUUCAUUUCAGAUUCUAACUCCCAGGUCAUUUCCUCAACAUCAUGGUUCCUCCAUAAAACUUUGACUUGAGGUAUAACCUUAGAGCGUAGAAUAUGUUCAUUCUUAUCCAAGAUUUGAACAGGAACCUCUUCAUACGUUAAAUAUUCCUCUAUUUUGUCCGGUUCUAACUCAAUAAUUUGGUUCGGGUCUUCCAUAUAUUUACAUAACAUGGAUAUGUGAAAAACGUUAUGAACAUGAGACAUACUGGGCGGUAAAGCGAGUCUAUAGGCUACAGUCCCUACUCGAUCGAGGAUUAAAAAUGGGCCAAUGAAUCGAGGAUUGAACUUUCCUCUCUUUCCAAAUCUCGUAACUCCUUUCCAUGGAGCAACACGUAACAACACAUGAUCUCCUAUAUCGAAUUCCACAUCCUUUCGAUGAAGAUCAGCAUAACUCUUUUAUCGAUCUUGUGAGGUUUUUAUACAUUGUCGGAUCGUUUGAAUCUUUUCCGUAGUCAUACGUACUAACUUCGGUCCCAACAACGUUGCUUCACCCACCUCAUCCCAGCAUACUGGAGAACGACACUUUCUUCCAUACAACACCUCAAAUGGAGUCAUGCCAAUGCUUACUUGAUAACUGUUGUUGUAGGAAAAAUCCACCAAGGGUAAGAACUUGUCCCAACUUCCCUUAAAGUCAAGGACACAGAGUCUUAAUAAAUCUUCCAGAGUUUGAAUAGUCCUAUUUGAUUGUCCGUCCGUCUGAGGAUGAUAUGCCGAACUAAAUCGUAAAUUCGUGCCCAUAGCUUUUUGCAAACUAACCCAAAAUCGUGAAGUGAAUCUAGGGUCUCGAUCAGAAACUAUGGAUACUGGCAUACCAUGCAGUCUUACAAUCUCGUUUAUGUACAUACGAGCAAGACGUUCAAGUGUAUAAGUUUCUCGUAUUGGUAAGAAAUGAUCCGACUUGGUUAAUCUAUCAACAAUGACCCAAAUUGCAUCUAUGCCAUGAGAAACCUUGGGAAGACCAGUAACAAAAUCCAUGGUAAUGUGCUCCCACUUCCAUUCUGGAAUUUGAAUUGGUUGCAAUGGACCUUUCGGAACUUGAUGCUCCGCCUUUACUCGUUGACACGUUCGACACCUUGAGAUAAACAACGCUAUCUCUCUCUCUUUAUACUACUCCACCAAAAUGUAUGACGAAGAUCACGGAACAUUUUGGUACUCCCAGGAUGGAUUGCAAAUGGUGUGUUGUGCGCCUCCAUCAUGAUAUUAUACUUUAAAUCAGGGUCGUUAGGAACACAAAGUCUGGAGUUGACUCGAAGUAUUCCUUCAUCAUCGAUUCUUGCUUCCGCCAUAGCACCUUCUUGCACUUUCUUCCUCAUACGCAUCAGCUCUGGAUCUGUAACUUGAGCAGCUUUAACUUUAUCAAUUAAAGUCGGUUCUACUCGUAUAUUCGCUAUCAUCACGUGGGUCCCUGGAAUCUUUAUCUCUAUCUCCAUCCUUUGCAAGUUAUACAAAAUGGGCCUUCAUAUUGACAAUAUCGCACUCGUACCCGCAUAUGAUCUUCUACUCAAUGCAUCAGCUACCACGUUCGCUUUUCCAGGAUGGUAUUGGAUGGUAUGAUCAUAAUCUUUCAAUAGUUCAAGCCAACGUCGUUUUCGCAUGUUGAGUUCCUUUUGAGUGAAGAAAUAUUUGAGGCUUUUAUGAUUCGUAAAGAUCUCCACUUUCUCCCCAUACAAAUAAUGCCUCCAAAUCUUUAGUGCAAAAACGACUGCUGCUAACUCUAGAUCAUGAGUAGGAUAAUUCCUCAUAUAUUUUUUGAGUUAUCGUGAGGCAUAAGCUAUGACUUUCCCAUGUUGCAUGAGAACACAUCCCAACCCUUUGCCCGAAGCAUCACUAUAGAUGACAAAUCCCUCCGAGCCAGAUGGUAUUGUCAGAACAGGUGCUGAAAUGAGUCUUCUCUUAAGUUCUAGAAAACUUUUCUCACAUUCUUCACUCCAACCGAAUUUUGUAUCUUUCCGAGUUAGCUGAGUUAAUGGAGUAGCGAUUCGAGAAAAUCCUUCCAUGAAUCUCAGAUAAUAACCAGCUAAACCGAGAAAGCUAUAUACUUCGGUCACUGAUUUAGGUUGCUCCCAGCUUUGAAUAGCUUCAAUCUUUGCUGGGUCAACAGAUAUUCCAUGACUUGAUACCACGUGCCCAAGGAAUGCUACUUCCUCAAGCAAGAACUCGCAUUUCUUCAACUUGGCAUAAAGCUUAUAUUCACGAAGCUUUUGGAGUAUUAGCCUCAAGUGUUGCUCAUGAUCUUCACGGCUUUUGGAAUAAAUAAGGAUGUCAUCAAUAAAGACGACCACAAAGUGAUCCAAAUAUUCCUUGAAUACUCGGUUCAUCAUAUCCAUGAAGGCAGCAGGAGCAUUAGUCAAUCCAAAAGACAUGACUAGGAAUUCAUAAUGCCCGUACCGAGUUCUAAAAGUCUUCUUUGGAAUGUCAUCGGUUCUAAUCUUUAACUGGUGAUUUCCGGAAUGAAGAUCAAUCUUUGAAAAGAAUUUGGCUCCUUGCAACUGGUCAAAUAGGUCAUCUAUACGUGGCAAUGGGUACCUAUUUUUGAUGGUGACAUGAUUCAACUCCCGAUAAUCAAUACAAAGUCGCAUACUCCCAUCUUUCUUCUUCACGAAUAGAACAGGAGCACCCCAAGGAGAAGUACUAGGACGAAUAAAGCCAAUGUCUAACAAUUCCUGCAGUUGGGUCUUUAACUCCUGAAGUUCAAUAGGAGCCAUUCGAUAUGGGGCUUUGGAAAUGGGUUUUGUACCGGGUUCAAGGUCGAUACAAAAUUCAAUUUCACGCUCUGGGGGUAGGCCAGGAAGUUCUUCAGGGAAUACGUCAGGAAAUUCAUUAACAAUAGAAAUAUCAUUCAAAACUGACGUAUUUUUGUUUAGAUCCGUGACAUGAGCUAAGAAAGCUUGACAUCCGUUUUUCAAUAAACGAAUAACUUUAUGGCUUGAGAUGACAGUGAUUGAUUUUAAUGGUUUGGUUGCUUGAAUUUGCCUAAUGGGUUGAUUAGGAAUAUGAAAGCUAACAACCUUACGAAAAUAAUCAAUUUUUGCAUGAUGAGUAGUUAACCAAUCAAUCCCUAGAAUUACAUCAAAUGCAAGUAUUUUCAAUGAAAUAAGAUCGACAGGUAAUGUGAGGGUACCGAUUUGAAUCAAACAAGACUUAUAAACCGUGGAUGUAAUGAAGGUUUCUCCCAAUGGAGUUUCAACAGAUAAGUCAAAGUCCAAUUUCUCCGAAGUCAAAUUUAAACGUUGAGCACAAGUAGGAGAAAUAAAAGAAUGGGUAGAACCGGUAUCAAAUAAGGUAUAUACUUCUCUAGAGUUUAUGAUAAGCUUACCCGUGAUGACCUCGUUCGGGUUCCUUGCUUUCUGGGAGGUUACAACAAACGCUCUCCCUUGCACUAUCGGUUUUGAAUUUUUUGGGACGGCCUUUGAUGCCUCCAUCCAAGCUGGACUUGUCUUCGGUGCACGAAAAAAUCGGGCCAAGUGACCUUCUCUUCCACAGUUGUAACAUGCUUUGGAUGGCAUCACACAGUUGAAGCAUCACAUAGUUGGGACUGAUGUGUCCCUCUCCUCCAUACUUGAAGCAUAUGAUAGGUGGUUGUUCUCCUUCCUUAAUGAUAGGUGUUGAUGUUGACGUCUUUCCAUCAUUGUUUAAUCUCCUCUUCUUAAAAUGUCCAUUCUUAUUAUUUUGGCCAUGAUUACCACCAAAGUGGUUACCAUUUCUGGCCUGUUGAUUUCCUUCAUGCUUGUUUUCACCGCUUCGAUGACUGCUCUCACUAGUAUUAGCAUUUUGUCGGUUGCUAUCUUUUGGUUGGGAUGACUCAUUAUCACGCUCCAAUAACUGAGCCCUAUUAACAACAUCUAAAUACAAACAUAGUUUAUGAGAGAUAAGAUAUUGACGUAUCUCAGGUUUCAAACCUCUUAAAAACAUUCGCGUUAUUCUCUCCUCAUUAUCAACCAAAUAGGAUGCAAACUGGGACAACUCAGAAAACUUAGCUUCGUACUGCGAUACGGUCAUGUUGUUUUGUGCCAACUUGAUGAACUCUACCUCUUUCAUGUGACGAAUACUUUCGGGAAAGUACUUGUCGUUGAACAGUUCCUGGAACUUCUCCCAAGACAUCUUCAGUGCAGUAGGUUGAGUACGUUUUACAGAUUCCCACCAGUAAUCUGCCUCUGCACGCAACAUGAAGGUGGCAAAAGGAACCUUUUUCUCCUCGGAGCAUCCCAAGACAUCAAAUAUCUUAUUGAUCUGCUUAAUCCACGUGUCCGCCUUAAGUGGUUUUGGCUUUCCAAAAAACUCUGGUGGUCCCAGUUCCUUAAACUGCUUGGCGGUAACCAUCCGUGAGUUGCCAGUAUUUCCACUUGCAUUUUGUACAGGAGCCGCUUUUGUCUGAUGUUGCAUGAAUUGCAUAAAGCCUCUGAACAUUCCAUCGUUCAUCAUUUGAUCAGUGUUGUUGUUUGCCUGAGGAAUGUCGCCUUCUUGAUGCACAUUAUCCUGAUUAUUGAUCUGUGGAGACUCAACGGUCUCCUGUGCUCCAUUGAUGUUCUCAACAUUCUCGGAUGCCAUUUUCAAAUACUGCCACAAAACAAGGGUUAAAUAACAUAUAACAUAGUAUCCCUAUACUCUGACUGACCAAUUUAAAUAUCAAAUAAACUUAGGUAGGUCAUACUAGCGAAGGAAUUCCCCGUCUCUCCCUUCUUAGUUCUUGUCUCACAUUUUAGCCAGGGAUCAUAUCCCUAAGCUUUGAUACCUACUGUGACGCCCCCAAAAUAGGUAUACAUCACCUAUUCUGAGUCGCCAAAUACAAAUACAAUCUUUAAAAUACAACAAGAGAGCUGUGAGUUUUAAUACAAAUACUGUCUUCUAGACAAUAUCCACUCUCAGAAUAAGUCCUCAUUACAUUUAUUGUCACACUAUUUAACAGAAUAGUGAGGACUACUAAUACACCAUCUAGGACCAUCACUCCAUUCCCCGACUCAUCCCAGCUACGUUCUCAUUUCCUGAAGAGAACAAUGAAAGAAAGGGUGAGCUCAACUAGCCUAGUAAGAAAUAUUAUGACUAAGAUAAUGCAGAAAAAAAUUAUCAUUAGUCUUCAACAAUGUUAAACUGAUAAUAUACAAUAGACAUCAAGUUUAACUACAGCGGAACAAGAAAUUCAUUAAAAGAGUCAAAUAGAGAAUAAAAUAUACUAUCUUUUAUGAUUUAAAAUGUUUUUCAUCACUUUUAUCGCUGAGACUCAGCUUAAUAAAUAAUCCACAUCAUCCCUGCACUACGGCCAAGGAUAUUCAUUAGGGUCACGACCACAAAUUAUCCAUGCACUACGGGCCAAGGAUAUUCGUGUAUUCAUCAAUGGUCAUGAUCAUGCCAACAACUGUCCAUCAAUGCACUACGGGCCAAUGAGGACUUUUACCACAUCAUUUGUAACAUUACGGUCAUGAUUAUACCGAAUAAUCCCUGGUCAUAAUCAUACCAAGUCCAUCUAUGCACUACAGGCCACAGAUGACUUUCAACAAAAUAUAAACAUGAGGAUGAUGACAAUGAUAUAAGAAUUCAAUAAAACAAGUUCAAGAAUUAAUUUAUCCAGGAACUAAUAACGUCCAAAUUGUCAACAUGAUACUUCUUUGUAGAGUAAAAUUCAAGAAUGCUCAGAAGAAUAUUUCCAUGAAAAGAUACUGGAUGAAGCGCAAAUAUCAAGGAUAUUCCACUAAUUUCAUGGAGUAUAGAAGUCAAAACUUUAACCAACUGAGUAUAAUAAAGAAUGGAAUAACAAAAGAAAUCACCAUGCAUGCGGUACUUCGCAUAGACAGGUUAUUCCAACAGAAUAAUAAGUAACGGAACCAGGUCAGGCGAAAUUCGCACCGACAGGAUGUUCCAACUGAAUAGUAAAGACAGAACCAGGUCCAGUGUAAAACACACAGACAGGAUAUUCCAAUAGAAUAAUAAAGACGGAACCAGGUUCGGUGUAAAACACAUAGACAGGAUAUUCCAACGGAAUAAUAAAGACGGAACCAGGUCCGGUGUAAAACACACAGACAGGAUAUUCCAACAGAAUAAUAAAGACGGAAUCAGGUCCGGUGUAAAACACACAGACAUGAUAUUCCAACAUAAUAAUAAAGACAGAAUAAUAGAAGAAUGUCACCAAGUAUAGGGUAGCCCGCGUAUACAGGUUAUUCCAACAGAAUAAUAAGAAAUGGAAUAACUGAAGUUCUCUUCAUGAAUACAAAAUAAUAAUAUCCCUUACCGUAAAAGAAACUGGAUAUAAGAGUAGUUAAGUAGCAGAAUACUUUUUUUCUUUUUCUCUACAGUUUAUCUCUCUAGAGUUUCAGUGAAUUCGUAAGAAGAUAAUGAAGGAAUGAUCUUCUAUUUAUAGAAAAAUGGACUGUAUAGUAACUAAUCCAUGAACGGUCCAGAUCGAUUUACUUUAAUCUGACAGUCCAUAUUUAAAGCAAAAUCUUUUAAAUAAAAUAUAAUAUAUUCUAUUUAUAAUCUAAUAAAACGAAUAACUUUAUAAAAGAUUUUACUAUGCAAACACUAUGUAGGCACUAUGCAAACACUAUGCAUAAUAAAAUAUAAUAUAUUCUAAUUAUUGUCUAAUAAAANNNNNNNNNNNNNNNNNNNNNNNNNNNNNNNNNNNNNNNNNNNNNNNNNNNNNNNNNNNNNNNNNNNNNNNNNNNNNNNNNNNNNNNNNNNNNNNNNNNNNNNNNNNNNNNNNNNNNNNNNNNNNNNNNNNNNNNNNNNNNNNNNNNNNNNNNNNNNNNNNNNNNNNNNNNNNNNNNNNNNNNNNNNNNNNNNNNNNNNNNNNNNNNNNNNNNNNNNNNNNNNNNNNNNNNNNNNNNNNNNNNNNNNNNNNNNNNNNNNNNNNNNNNNNNNNNNNNNNNNNNNNNNNNNNNNNNNNNNNNNNNNNNNNNNNNNNNNNNNNNNNNNNNNNNNUCGUGAUACUAAAGAAUAUCCUUGGCCGUAGUGCAGGGGUGAUUCGAUGAUGUGGAUUAUUUAUUAAGUUGAGUCUCAGCGAUAAAAGUUAUGAAAAACCUUUUAAAUCAUAAAAGAUAGUAGAUUUUAUUCUCUACUUGACUCUUUUAAUGGAUUGCUUAUCCCGCCGCAGUUAAACUUGAUGUCUACUGUAUUUUAUCAGUUUAACAUUGUUGUAGACUAAUGAUAAUUUAUUCUGCAUUAUCUUAGUCAUAAUAUUUCUUACUGGGCUAGUUGAGCUCACCCUUUGUUUCACUGUUCUCUUCAGGAAAUGAGAAUAUAGCUGGGACGAGUCGGGGAACGGAAUGAUGGACCAGAUGAUGGUAUUAGUAGUCCUCACUAUUCUCUUAAAUAGUGUGACAAUAAAUGUAAUGAGGACUUAUUCUAAGAUUGGAUAUUGUCUUGAAGAUAGUAUUUGUAUUAAAAUUCGCAGCUCUCUUAUUGUAUAUUAGAGAUUGUAUUUGUAUUCUGUACCAUGUAUUUGGCGACUCAGAAUAUGUGAUGUAUACCUAUUUUGGGGGCGUCACAAACUGUACUAUAAAAAAAUUGCAGCAACUGUACUAUGAAAAAAUCGCAGAUGGAGGAUGGCGUUAACAAGUUGGGACUGUCUAGGUUAAUGGCGGAGGAUGGCAUUAAUGGUGGAGAAGGGCGUAGCAGAAGAGGGCAUUAAUGGUGGAGGAUGGCGGAAGAGAGGGCCACUACAAGAAAAAGCUUUAUCAGCGACCGCCUACCAGCGAUCGCAUACAGUCACAGAUAACCAUCAGCGAUCGCAUACAGUCACAGAUAACCAUCAGCGACCGCAUGCAGUCGCUGAUAUGCGUCGCACAAAAUCUGGUCGCUGAGAUGUACAUCAGCGACCACUAUUAGCGACCGAUGUAUUUGCGACCGAUAUGAGCGACCGAAAUGACAAAUCCGGUCGCUAAGCUGAGUCAGCAUGGUCCAGGGCCACAGCUAACGUGUUCCAUGUGGCAGCGACCGGUAUCAGCGACCGGAUGCGGUCGCUGAUACGGAAAAAUAAAAAAACAGAAUCUUGCUGUUUUGCAGAAAUCCCAAAAACUUGUACCUGUUUUAUGCCAACAAUAGCAAACACAACAAUAUAAACAUGCAUUGUCCACCAACACAUACACCAAACUAGUAUAUAAACCAUUAAAAACCAAUAUGAUUUUGAAUAAACAUAAUAACAUUUUAAAACUUGUUUAAGUAACAUACAAACAUCCUAAGAAUGAAUAUACAAGUACAAACUUAUACUAUAACUACAAAACUAAUCUAAAGCAGGUACGUAAAGCAUCACUGCCUCCUUGAUCACCCUAUAAUUAACAAAAUAAUAAAACAAGUUACAAACGUCGCCAAGUUAUAAACAAGUUAUAUACUAACUAUGUUAAUAUUGGUAUAUUACGAUAAUAUACAACAAAUUAAUUUUAUACCUCGUCGCCAUCCCCGUGUUGUGAUGCUGCUACUGCCGCUACUGCUUCAGCUAACUCCUCAGCACUCAGAGCCCCCAGAUGUCCGUCCAGUAUCUUCAGAAGAUCCCGAUCUUGACAUAUAGCUCUCACACAGUCAGCCAGAGUAUGAACAGCUGGAUGGCUCGAUGACUGUGUAGACUGGAUAGAAGAGCAGCCUGAGCCACUGAAGGAUGGGCGUCGUCGUUGUCCUUGACCUUUAAUGUAGUUCUUUUUCACAACAGAUGCCCUCUCCCACAACUCUUGAUCGAUAGACGGACGUGGAGUGCCUUCAGGAUAGCGCUCAUUCAAUAAACGCUUAUAAGUGUCCUGUCAUCAUGUUAACAAUUAAAUAGUUAAAAAUAAAUUAAUUCUGUAAGCAUUAAUUAAAGAUCAAGUUGUUAAAAUUUAUUACCGCUAUCUGGAUAGCCUUAGGCAGACCAUCACGGGUGGCCACGUACACAUCCAGCUAAUGGAUAGGCUGACCUUGAGACUGAGACUCCUAUAUAAAAAUAACACAAUAUUACUAAGUAAAAAUGGGAUAUAUUUUCUACAAUUCAUGAUUGAAAACAUAUUAAAACUUGUAAAUACGUACCUUGGCAGUGAUAUGCUGCAAUUGUGAAAUAUUGUCGCCCUUAUAAGUUCCUUUAGCCUUUUCGCCAUUGGAUACACCCGAGGCUCUGUUGGUGGCGGUAGUCUUUCGUCUUUUCACCCAGCUCUCAGCUCUCCAUUAGGCACACAUCUCGGCCCAUAUGGACUGGGUGCACCACCAGGGGCUAUGCUUGUGCAUAUAAUCCUCUCCCUGGCCUGGAUGGUCGAUCUCGGUAUUGUGAAUGGCUUUUUGUCGUUCUUUAUUCAAGUUGUUCUUGGUGCGGACCGCGCACUUCUUCCAGAAUAAUGUCUGAAUCACCGAAGCAUGCACGUCCUCCCAUCUAUACCUUUUCUGCAAAUAAAACAAUAAUAACAUUACUAAAUAAUUAUCCUUUGAAUAUUAUAUUAAUAUUAUCUAUCAUAAUUAAAAAAAAUAUACCUGAAAUUCUGCCCAAAUAGCAUCCUUGUGGGCGAUAGGUGUGCUCGCCCACGUAAUCACAACUGUAGGCCAAUUCUGUAAACACAGCUGUGAUAUGCACUUGACGAUUUUAUUAUCUAAAAAAUCACUAUAAUAUACAACAUCAAUUAGCAUAUAUUAAAGUAAUUUACAUCUAAGUUAUAAUACUUAUGAACAUUUUUCAAACUUAUACUUAUAUAAUACUUAAGAAAAAUUUGCCAGAGUCUCCCCUACAAUAUGGACUAGCCACAUGCACGACGGCAUGCAUAUAUGGACAUUUCUAGGCACCCAAGACACUAACCAAUAUAAUAUCAAUCAAAACAUUACCAAUAUACAAUAAAUGGAAUCUUAAAUGCUUAUAUAAAAUUGAUAUAUGCGGGAUGUACGUGCUAUUCGGAGGAGGGCGAAUCUGAAUAAGAAUCUGAUCAUCCGGAUUAGUAGGGGCCUUGGGCACAUGAUUAGGCCCCCUACCCAAGCCGCGCUUUUUCUGCGCUGCUUUAGAAGCCAUCUGUAUAUUACAAAUUUCAAGAUGUUUUGCAGAGUUAUAUUUGAUUACAUGUAUAUAUGACAAUAAACAUGACAGUGAUAUAAACAUGUAUAUAGUUUAAAUUGCAUUUAAAAAACAAAAAUUUCAUUUAAAUAGUUUAGUACAUAAACAUGACAGUGAUUUAAACAUGUAUAUAUAUAUGAAUAUAAAAUGACAGUCCAUUAAAAAAUCUCAUAUGAAGUGAACUGCACCCAACUCCAAACAAAUAUACAUUCACUUUUUAAACAAAACUAAUAUAAGAAUAACAAUAACAAUGGUAAUGUAUCAUAAAUUGAUGACGUGCUUUAAUUACAAUAAUAUCUGCUUUAAUUGAUUCCCUCAUUUGUUUCAAGUGUCAAUGUCUGAUUCAGAAUCAUCUUGUAUACGUGUUGCAGAUUCAUAACCAUCAUCUGCUUCAGAUUCAGUGUCAGAUUCAGUCAAUAACUCUUCCUCCUCAGUAUCAAUGUCAUCUGACACAAGUAUUGACUCAGGAUCUAAUUCAUGUGGUUCAUCUCCACCAUCUAACUGGAUUACUUCAUUGUCGUCCUCCACAUUUAUUAUAGUUUGACUAUGAAGCAUCUGCUCUUGGUAAAUCUCCCCAUUAACUGAUUCUACAUGACUACGCGUGGGAGUAUGAAUUAUAACUUGCCAAUCUGUAGGCGGUCUAUCCCUUUUCCUAACAGGACUAGGAGUGUAGUAUACUUGUACUGUUUGAGUUGGUAAAACAAACGGUUCGUUGGAGUACGCAGACCUAUGGAGGUCAAUAUCGACGAUUCCAUGUCUGUCAAUACGUAUCUCUUUUUCUGAAUCAAACCAACUGCACUUGAACAAGUGAAUAUGACCCCCGUACGUGCCCUUGUACGACAACUCUACGAUUUCCUCCAACUCCCCAUAAAAGGCACGACCAAGCUCAUUGUAACAAUCUCCUUAGACACACACUCCAGAGUUCGUUGUUCUUUUACCGCGCCCAUAUGCCUUUGUGUGAAAUUCACAACCAUUUAUUUUGUAAUCAUUGCGGCUGACUUGGUCCCUGUUUGGUUCCAUAGCUAGGACUUGUACAUUAGUUAAAAUCGUUGAUCCCUCAGUCAAAGCCUACAAAAACUCCAUCUUAUUAAAUGAAGUCAUAGUUAANNNNNNNNNNNNNNNNNNNNNNNNNNNNNNNNNNNNNNNNNNNNNNNNNNNNNNNNNNNNNNNNNNNNNNNNNNNNNNNNNNNNNNNNNNNNNNNNNNNNUUUGAAUAUGUAUAUAUAUAUAUAUAUAUAUAUAUAUAUAUAUAUACGUGCUUAAAAAUUGAACUUACUUUGUCCUUUAGCCAAAGUGCAAAGUUUUUAUCCCGAUUGAUUUGAAUAUCUUUAUCAGUUAUGCCGGGAUGUUUCACUUUUAACUCGUCAUCGUACAAUCUAUACCAUGUUAUAAACAUUAACAUAUUGGAAUAAUUUUCAACUUAUAAGAUAAAUUAUCAAUUUUACAUGUGUACCUCACAAAUUCGUCAAUCUCCUCACAAUUGAGAAAAAUGUAAGUAUGUGCAGCAUGUAAUUCUUGCUCAAAGAGGAAUAUGUGCUUCCCUUUUCCAUAAGCGCGAACCGAUAGACCAAAUACAGAGAGCCGACCAUUUAGUUCAACAUUUCCCCCAUCAUCACGUCUCGAUACUAGAUUGACCUUUGUCAAGACUUCGUCCGGAAAAUAGUCUGAGACAAAGGUAGAUAUCUCAUCGAAAUUGUAUGCCUCGCAUAUCGACCCCUCGACAUAAGCUCUAUUAUUCACCUUCCUCUUAAGGUUUCCCAUCACCCUCUUGAAAGGGUACAUCCAUUUAUAUUGAACUGGACCCCCAACACGAGCUUCAUAGGGAAGAUGGAUUUGCAAAAGCUCCAUGGAGUCAAAAAAACCAGGUAAGAAUAUUUUUUCUAGUUUACACAUGAUCUCUAUGAUUUUCUUCUCAAGUACAAACAUGUCCUUCUCAUUCAAUGAUUUUGAACACAAGUCUUUGAAGAAACGACUAAGAUCCGUCAAAGCAUCCCAUAUUGGUUUAUCAAGCAGAUCCUGAAAUGUUAUAGGCAUGAGCCUCUCCAUGAACACAUGACAGUCAUGACUCUUCAUCCCUUGCAAUUUCCCACCCGUACCACACCUUACAAUGUUUGACGUAUAUCCAUCUGGUAGUUUCAGAGACUUAACCCAUGUGCACACCUCUUCAACUUGCUUUUUGGACAAUGUGUACCUUGCAUGCGGUUUGACAAUCUUACCAUUAGGAGAUUUAUAAAGUUCUAAUCCAGGAUGCUUACAAAUAUCUUUCAUGUCUAAACGUGCCUUAUCGUUAUCUUUUGUCUUCCCCGUAACAUUCAUCACAGUGUUAAACACAUUGUCAAACACAUUCUUCUCAAUAUGCAUCACAUCUAAAUUAUGACGAAUCAAAUUUGUAGACCAAUAAGGCAGUUCCCAAAAGAUGCUUCUCCGAACCCAGUUAUGAGAUUCACCAAACCCAUCGAUUAUGUUUGUGGCAUCAACCUUACCAAAUGGGAUAACCGGCAAUCUCAUCACACGAUCUCGUAUCUCCGUUCCCGAUAAUCGCGGUGCAGGCAUAUCAUUAUCUACUUUCCCUUUCCUGAAGUGUUCUUUAUUUCUUCGAAACGGGUGAUCUACCGGUAAGAACCGACGAUGACAGUCAAACCAACAAGGCUUUCGACCUUUUGAUAGAUUAAACGACUUUGUAUGCUCCAUACAAUACGGACAAGCCAACUUCCCGUGUGUACUCCAUCCAGCUAACAUACCAUAAGCUGGGAAGUCACUUAUAGUCCACAUAACCGCUGCCCUAAGGUUGAAAUUUGUUUUCGUUGCAACAUCCCAAGUCUGUACUCCAUCCUCCCAUAAUACCUUCAACUCGUCUAUAAGAGGUCUCAAGUAAACAUCUAAGUUCUUUCCAGGAUUCUUAGGACCAAGAACCACGAGUGAAAGAAACAAGUAUGGCUGUUUCAUACACAUCCAAGGAAGCAAGUUGUACGGAGUAACAAUCAUAGGCCAACAUGAGUACGGAAUAGCUGAGUGGCCAAACAGAUUGAAACCAUCGAUGGACAAUCCAAGCCUCACAUUUCUAGGUUCCAAAGCAAAUCCAGGAUGUGCUAAGUUGAAAUCUUUCCAAGCCUUCCCAUCUGCGGGAUGAUUUAGUUCUCCAUCUUUAGCUGGAGAUUUCGCAUGCCAACUCAUAUGUUCAGCUGUUCUUGAAGACAUGUACAAUCUUUUUAGUCGAUGUGUUAUUGGAAAAUACCUUAGAAUCUUAAACGGUAUACUUGAUAUUUUUGUAGUCACACCCUCUUUAUUAGGCCUAAACCGAUCAUGACUGCAAAACGUGCACCUUGUCAACUGUUCAUUUUCCUUAUAAAACAACAUGCAAUCGUUGGGACAUGCAUCGAUCUUUUGGUAUCCAAGACCCAACUUCUUCACCAUUUUCUUACAAAAGUAAUAGUUACCAGGUAAUUUCUCACCGUCAGGCAACAUACUCUUAAUGGCAUUCAAGAGCGACUCAAAACACUCAUGGCUCAUGUUGUGAUCAGCCUUGAUGUUAAGUAAUGUCGCCACUGCAGACAAUGUAGUGUGUUUGGUGCAACCAUGCCACAAUGGCUCGCUACCCUCGUCUAACAACUUAAAGAAGUCUUUGGCAUCAGAAUUCAUAGGUUGCUCUCUGCCUUGCUCCCAAUCAAAAUCUGGCCUUGCAAUAUCAUGAACCAUUUCCUUCACAAGAUGAGUACUACUGCCUGAAUUGUGUACUUGUGUGAUGCCACCAUCUCUUUUUUGCCCAUGUGCCCACCAGCAUUCUUCGUAAUUUCUCAUGAACCCAGAAACAAGUAAAUGAUAGUUUACCAUGUCUCUGUCCAUAUAAUUUACAUUCUUACACUUCAAACAUGGACAUUGUAUCUGCGACUUACCAUUCAUACAUUCCGGGUGACUAUACGCAUACUCCAAAAACACCUGGCAACCAGCUCUAAAUUCAACUAUAGUACCUAUCUGGGCACUUGACUUUCGUCGUGCCAUCCAACUACGAUCUGAAUAGAGGUCCAUAAAUCCACAGUACCUACUACAGACAACAUUAUAAAUAUUAACAUAUGACUUGAGCAUACUUGUAACCAUAUGACUUGAGCAUACUUGUAAGCAUGCAUAUGAUUAACAUUUAAGCAUACUUGUAAGCAUAUGACUUGAGAGCAUACUAGUAACCAUAUGAUUUGAUCAUACUUGUAAGAAUAUGAGUAUCAUUUAAGCAUACUUGUAAGAAUAUGACUUGAGCAUACUUGUAACCAUAUGACUUGAGCGUACUAGCUAUGCAUAUGAUUAAUAUUUAAGCAUAUUUGUAAGCAUAUGACUUGAGCAUACUUGUAACCAUAUGACUUGAGCAUAAUUGUAAGCAUAUGAUUAUGUCAUUAAUAUUAUAAAUGUUCGCAACUACCCGACCAAAAAAUAAUAAUAUGGACUAGCCACAUGCACGAAGGCAUGCAUAUAUGGUCAUUUCUAGGCACCCAAGACACAAACCAAGAUAAAUAUACUUGAACAUACUUGUAAGCAUUUGUAAGUUCAUGCUAGCUUUGUAUUCAUAACUUGGUUGAGCAAUUUAUAGCUUCUAUAACAUAUUGUAAUUUUAUUCUUUUAUACAUAAGUGUUAAAUACCCUUGUUUUUCUGUUAUAGCCAAAACAGUCUCUUUAUUAGCCAAGUGUGUCUAGAUACCUUCUCUGUUGCACUAACAGUUCCCUAGCACUAUCUAUUUUGGCUUAACAUCCCCCAAUAGCUGACCAUGCCGACAGCCAAGCUUAGCUUGGCCCCGUGAGGCUUGGCUAAGCUUGGCGUGGCCUUGUGUGGCCUCGUAUGGCCUCGCGGCCCCAAGCCCAGCCCAUCAGCUCCAACAGUCCCUUAAUAGGCUCUAGUGGAUCACUUAGUUUAAAAUCCCUACAUCAUUUAACAUCAUUUAGCAACUGUUUAUUGUUGAUUGAUGGUCUGCUUUCACAUAAUUGUAUGACAAUGAUAGCAUACACAUACACAGUCUGGGUAACCCAAGCUCAUUACGUUAAUUCACUAGAGCUACAAUUAUAAACAUUAAAAACUCACCAUUUAAUCAUUCAUAAUUGUAAUCCCAUUUAUAUAAGGCAUUCAAGUCAUUUGGGUAAGCCUAGCCUUUUUGUAUUAAUUAUAAAAAAUAUCAAUUUCCUACUUAAAAAUAGGCUUGUUAUGUAAACUUCUUGACCCGACUUACAAAACUUACUCAACUGCACUCUCACUUUCACUCCGCUUUGAAUUAUAAGAAUAAUAAUAAUAAGUUUGUUUUUAAAAAUUAUCAUAAUAAAUAUUAUAUCUAUUCACUAGUAAUUUUAAAGUAUGUUAUGAUAUUUAUAAUUAUAUUGAUAUAUACAUCUGACUUAAUUUGAAUUUAUAUAUAAUACAUAAUUAUAGUGUACAUUAUAACAAUAAAAAUAAUUCAAUUAAAUACAAAUACUACUUGAAUCUAACUCGUUUUGAAAGUAUUAGCUAGUAGUUUGUGACCAUUUUUUACGUACUUAGAAACAUACUUUUCCGUUUUUAAAAGAUGUCUUAAAUACAUCUAUUAAGACAUCAAAUUUAUUAACAAUAUCUACUUGAGUAGACUCAUGUACACUAGGAGUACUAAAAAGGGAUCACUAUUUCCAAUAUCAGUUCCCUACUAAUAAAUAAAUAAAUUAAGAAAAUGAAAACUUGUGUAUAUUUUAGUAGUAGUAUUAAUAAUCAAGAGCAAUUAUUUAUUUUUAAACUUCUGAUUUUCUGAUCUAUAGCUGUGUGUGUGACAGAAGUGUGAGUGGGUUUUCGUGUUUAUAACGUUUUCGUGUUCCAAAAUCCUCCGCAAGAACUUUCCAGACUGGACAUAUGUAUAUAUUAGCCCUAUACGCAUGUGAGUAAACCAAGCCCUAUGUAGAUUUCUAUUUUCUUCUAUAAAUAUGAGAUGAAGCCCCUGAAUAAAUUAAUAAGGGAACUCUAUGAGAGAGAGGAAGAUAAUCAAGACCAAUAAUAUACUUAGCAAAGCCUAUGGGGCAUAUUACACACCACAUUCAAGUACUAAAAUUAGGGCUUUAAAUUAUAAGCAAUUCAAUAGUAUAUAAUCACAAGCUAUUACACAUUAAAAUUCAAGACUAAGAAUUAGGUCUUUACAUCAAAGCAAUUACACACCAUUUUCAAGAAUAAAAAAUGUAAAAUUUAGAAACCCAAUCAAAUCGAACAACUACUUGAAGAAUUUAACAAUAUUUAAUCUAAUCUAACCAAUAUAAAUGCAUACCAGUGUUUGGUGGGGGCGGCGGCUGGCCGGUGGUGCGGUCAGGUUCUUCUCCUUCUCCUUUUUCUCUUCUCCCCCCUUUCUCCCUCUUCUCUCUAUGCUGAGCUUCCUCUCUUCUUUUUUUUCUUCCGUCUUCUGUGUCGAGCGAAAGCCUGAUACUGAUUUCAUUUAGUUUGAUCAGCGACCGAUGUUUAAUGACAUGGACUUAUCAGCGACCGCAUGUUUAAUGACAUGGACUUAUCAGCGACCGCAUGUGGUCGCUGAUGUUACGUGGUCGCAUAAAACCUUGGCGCCAACAUUUCGUGCCAAAUUUUACGAGGCAAAUUUGUAAUAGCGACCUCCCAGCGACCGCAUGCGGUCGCGGAUAGUAAUUAGCGACUACUUGAUAGUGUCGUCGCAGAUGUUGGUCGCUAAUAAUGGUAUCAGCGACCGGAUAUGUGGUCGCUGAUAGUGUUGGUCGCUGUUAGGCCUUUUUCUUGUAGUGGGCGUUAAUGGUGGAGGAUGGCGGAGGAUGCGGACUUUCUAGGUUAAUGGUGGAGGAGGGCGGAGGAGAAGGGCGUUAAUGGUGGAGGAGUGCAGAGGAUGGCGUUAACAAGUUGGGACUGUUAAUGGUGGAGGAGGAGAAGACUGACAAGGGCGAAGGAAGCGUGAUUUUUAUUAAGGAAAGAGAAAUUGUGCUAUAUAAUUUACUUAUUAAUUACUUAAUUUGAUAAGUAAAUCAAUAUUAAUCCCCUAAAUUAAGGAAUCUUAAUUGCAUACUAAUUUCCUAAAUUAAGGAAUCCUAAUUGCACUAAUAUUAUAAAUAAAUAUAAAAGUGUAUUAAUUGUGUAAAUAUUUUAUGAGUGAACUAUUGUUGUAAUUAUUUUAAAAAAUGUAAUAGAAUAUGUAAUUGUACCUUUUUCACAAGUAUAUUUGAUCUUUCCAUCAGACAUCACUCACUUGAGUGUGAGUCCCAUAUACUAUUCAUGUGAGGGGAGCCUCGUAUAAAUAUCAAAUUUUCUUGUGAAAAUACAAAAUAAUAAGUUUUACAAUUAGUAGUACUUUUUAAAUAAUUUAUAAUAUUUAUUAUUGUAUUGAUUAAAAGUAAAUAAAUCUAUGUCAUUUUUGGAUUUAAAAUUACUUCAAAUUAACUUUUAAAAAUCUUAAUUAUCUCAUAUUUUGGAAUAGAGGAAGUUCAUAAAGUCUUUACAAAAACAUUUUUAAAGCCCAUUUUUUUAAAAUGUUACUAGAUUAUACUAAAAAAAAAUUACAAAAAAUUUAGAAUGGACACUUGGCUUCCCUUCCCCCAACGUGCAUCCGCCCUUGGUUUAUCUAUUAUAAUUAAAUUCUUAAUCAAAAAAUUAAACUCUCCACGUAGAUAUUGCCUCAAAUUAACCAAACACUUUCACCCUACCAUCUCUUCAAAACUUUUAGUCUAAAUAUCACUUCUGUCUCUUUAAGUUAUCAUUUAUUUUUAAAGUUGUCUUUAAAUUUUAUUUUUUAUCACUUAAAUCUUUAAAUUGGUAUUUUUAAUGUUUCCGUUCCUUUUACUCAAUUUGACCUCAACGCAACCAAUUUUGACUUAAUUUUAACCCAACUCCACGAAGUUUGAAGCAACCUCAAUUUUUAAUAUAAAAUAAAUAUUAUUAAUAUUUUCAAAUAAAAUAUUUUUUUUAAAAAUAAUAAUGGUAUUUAAUAUUUUAAAAUAAAUAAGUAUUUUUAAAAUAGUAUUAAAAUAAUUAUUAUUUUAAAAAUAGUUAUUUUUAAUAUAUUAAAAGAAAAUAUAAUUUUUAAAAUAAUAAAUAAAUUUAAUAUUUGAAAAUAAAAUACUUUUCAAAAAUAAUUAUUAUUUUUAAUAUUUUAAAAAAUUAUUGCUUUUUUUUAUAAAAAUCCAAAUAAUAAUUUAAUUUAAUAUUUUCAAAUAAAAUUUCUUAAAAUAAUUAGAAAAUUGUAAUUAUUUUUAAUAUUUUAAAAUAAUUAUUAUUUUAUAUUUCAAAUAAAAUAUUAUUUAUAAUUUUUUUUAAAAUAACUAUUAUUUUAAGGAAAAGAUAUUGGAAACUUUUAUUUUUUUCAAAAAUGAGUAAAGUUUCAUAAAAUAUAGAUUCAAAAAAAAUAAAGUUCAAUUUUUUUAAAGCUUUAUUAUUUUUAUGGAAAUUUACACCUUUAAAAAAUUAUUUUUUUUAUCAGAAUAAAUUUUUAUUUUCUAAUAUAUAUUUUAUAAAACUUUACUCAUUUUUUUAAAAAAUGAAAAACUUUUCAAAUUUUUUUCCUAAAAAUAAUAAUGAUUUUUAAAACUUUUAAUUUAUUUUUUAAAAAAUUGAAUCAGUUUUUUUAUUUAUCUAAUAUUGUUUUUAUUUUAAUUUUUAUUUUUAAAAAUUCUAAUAUUAACAAUACAUAUAAUAAUGGUAAAGAUAUUAGCUUCUUUUUUUUCUAAAUAUAAUGUUUUACAUAAAAAAAUGAAAAAAAUCUACUCUUUUUUUUUAUAAAAAAAAUAAAAUAUUAUUUUCUUAUUUACUUUUUUUGAAUCUAUAUUUUAUGAAAUUUUACUCAUUUUUGAAAAUAAAAAUAAAAUUUCUAAUAUUUUUCCUUAAAAUAAUAUUUAUUUUAUAACUUUUUUAAAAUUAUAUUUUAUUUUAAAUAUAAAAAAUAACUAUGUUUUUAAAAAUAAUAUUUCAUUUUAAAAUAGUAAAAAUAAUUGUUAUUUUCAAAUUAUUUUUUUAAAUAAUAUUUAAUUUUAAAAUAGUUAAUAUAAUUAUUUUUUAAAAAAGUAUUUAAAAAAAUAUAUUUUUUAAAAUAUUAAAUAUACUUAUUUUAAUAUAUUUUUUUAAAGAAUUAUAUUUUAUUUUGAAUUAUUAAAAAUAACUAUUUUUAAAAUAAUUAUUUUAUUUUAAAAUGUUAAAAAUAAUUAUUAUUUUAAAAAUAAUAAUUUAUUUUAAAAUAUUAAAUAUUGUUAUUAUUUUAAAAUUUAUAUUUUAUUUGAAAAUAUUUAAAAUGUUUAUUUUAUUUUAAAAUAUUAAAAAUUGGGUUUAGGUUAAACUGAGUCGGGUUGUGUCAAAAUGGGUCGGUUUGGGGUGAAAUUAGAUAAAAAGAAUGAAAACGCCUAAUAAUAUUCUUUUAAAAAUCUAACUGACCUAAAAUGAACUUUAAGGACAACUUUAAAAAUGGAUGGAAAUUUAAAAGAACAAAAGUGUCAUUCAGCUAAACUUUUAUUAGCAUUACUAUGUAUUUUUAUAAAAUUUUAGCAUUUCUGAUACAUACAAACAUAAUGGUGGUCGGUGGAAAUGAAUAAGGAAGAAUAAUAUAUUUCUCCCUACAAAUAAAUUCCUAUUAAAAUAUAUUAACAGGACCGAAUGAAAUGAGUCGCAUGUUUAUAAGAGAGUUGUAAGGGUAUCAUACUUGUAUAUUAUACAAAUGCAAGUAUUUCUAUAAAUUGCAUAUUUAAACUGCUCAGAAUUGAAUCAGAAUCCGUCAAACUGUGGUUGCCAUAUGCCACUGCCAAACAAAGAACAACCAAAAGAAGAAAACUCUCGGACAUUUGCCCACGUUUUAAAUGAUCGCAGCUUCAUCUCUUAUCUAGAUUCGUAUAUGUUAACACCAAGAUUUUUUCACGCGCCUCAAUCACGUAACAUGCGUUUAUAUUCUACACAAUAAACAAGAUAAACAUCAAAAGUUUGACGGCUUCGACCGUCGGGAGAUAGCUCAGGCGUGAGAGUCAGUAUCGGUGUUCACAAGGUUAACAACGAAAUAUAAUAAUAUUUAGUGUAUUGAGAGAUAAAAUUAUCAGUCGAAUGUAUGUGUACGUACCUCUUUGUGAAGACCUCCUUGCUGGGUUAUACUCUCUUUGCCCGAUUUACCGUGCCAUCCACUACCGUCUGACACAGUCCCCUGAUUUGAUGGUUCCUGCCGGGUAUAUACAGUUCACCCACUACCUCUGACCUCUGUUUUCUACCGCCGGCCGUCGCCGGAUCCCAUCCACAUUAAUGCAUGGCAGUAACGACAGUCAGCCAUCAUGCUUUUCCAUCAUUACCGGUCAAAGUGGGAGAUAUUAAAAUAUCUAACGGAUAGACUCACUGAUCCGACCCGAUCUUGUAAGGACUUAGAAAGGAAUAAGACGGUGACUGGGCCCAAUGACAUUAACACCCAAUAAUGAAGACCCAAUGGACUAACUAAACAAGUAAGCCCAAUUCAUUCGGCCCAUUAGAGAAAAUAUCAUGAUCCAACAUUGCCCCCUAGUUUUUUAUUAAACAGAAUAUUUAAUAGAAAACUAUAAGUGGUCCAUGAUAUUAUAGGAUUUAAUGAAGGAUAAUCGAAAGGUACCUGGUGCGAUCUAUAAGAUGAAAUAGAGAGACCGGAGGCCCAAUAUGAAAGGCCCCAAUUGAUAAAUAUCUGAAUCUUGAACCAGAUGCUGCCCAUUUGAAUGCUUAAUUAUUACUGUUAAUUAAUAUGCCGCCCUCGUACACCGUGUAACCGUCAGUAUAAAAAGAAAUUUCCCCCAAUUUUGACAGUUUUACCUGUCAAUUUGAAUUUCGGACCUUUAAGAUUUCUUACUCUCUCCCAAACUCCUCUUCCUUUCUCUGCAAAAUCUCGACAAUGGCCUCCCAAGAUUCUGAACAAAGUCCACCUCUUUUAGUGACACCGAUCAACGUUGUCCCACCGAAUCCGAGCCCUAGCAAAGAAGCGUCAAGCUCGAACCCUAAGGCUGCAACUUCAAGUAAGAAACUACCCCCAAAAACUCCCCCGACUCCUUCUGAGUUCUUUAGAAACACGGAGGGUUUCUCACAUGCCAAUACCCCCUCUGAUAUAACAAAGAUGGGGUUAAGGAACAUUUGAACUAGAUACUCCAUUCCUGAUACCCAUCAGUUAAGGGUUCCAAGGGCCGAAGAGAAGAUGUAUCAGCAACCAGAAAGUUGGACGGCUGUUCCCGCAACUAUCCUCGAGAAAGGAAUCCGAUUUCCUCUCCAUGUGUUCAUAGUAACCCUUCUAGGGUUUAUAGGCGUCGGGUUCACCCAAUAAUUAGUACCAAACUCCUACAUCCAUAUUCUGGCCUUCAUCGCGUUCUGUCAUGAAAUCGGGGUGGAGCCUACUCUAGAUUUCUUCUUUACUGUUUAUAAGGUCAGCCAAUCCCGAGAAAAGGGAUUUAAAGUUUUGGGGAAACAUGCGCCGAAGGCCGGUGAAAAAUUUGAGAGGUGAUCUCUAGUGAGUACUCCUUCAAGUAACAGAGGAUGGCAUAAAGGGUGGUUCUUCAUCAAGGGAUCAAAAAUUACCUCUCUGCCGAACUGGACCAUGAGUGGCGUAGUUUCUGCCGACUUCGGUGAUAUCUCAGAAGAACGCGCGAGUGAAAUGAUAGAACUGUUUGAGAACUUUCCGUCAAAUGAAUGGAACUAUUUUGUUCUUACCAAGCAAGCCUGGAUGUAUGAACACAAAUGUAAGCUUUGAUUUAUUUGACUGUACAAUUUUUUUGAAAUUUUUCAGUGAUAUAAAUUCUUACACAUGACUUUUCUGCCUUUUAUAGUAUCUUUGAUUAAGCCAUCUUCGAUAGAUGUGAGACAUUUUGAAGAAUUCCUGUCUGGAAAGUCUUCGGGUACUGCUAAAACUCCCCUGACAGAAACAGCUCUUGAAGACUACCCAACUCCUAAAACCCGGACUACCAAACCUCAAACUGAAGAACCAGAAGUUGACGAAAUUCCUCCUUCCGAAGAGACUCUUCAACCUCGUCGGAAGAAGAGGGUUGUUCGAAAAUCAAGGUCCAUUCCUAUUCCAACGAACCCUGAUCCUACUUCAGAACCUGAGCCAGCCACCAAGCCAGCCCCUCCUCGAGGAAGUUUACUCGAUCGACCUGAUCGAAGAAAUCUUCUUCGAGUCAAGAAGUUAAGGGCCAAAGCUACCCCCCUGACAGUCGAAGAGCUUAGGGUGCCUCCCUUCUCAACCAUUCUGCCUUUUGUACCCCCUGUAGAAAUGCAAGUUUCUGAGGAAGGUGAUCAGGUCGAAACUGCUCCCACACUAUCCUGGAAGAGGAAACAGCCCUCUGACAGCCACCCUAGUACAACAUCCGCCCCAUCACCACCUCGAGAAUCUAUCCCAAUCCGAUCCCCAUCCCCCGAGACCAUAUAUAUGGAUCUGUCUCCGUCUCCGUCUCCUGAACGACCUAUUCCAUCUCCCGAAUGACCAAGGCAAUCACCUGAACGACCAGGGACUUCAGAUAAGGGAUUUCAGAAUGAGGCUAUGGUGUCACCAACCCUAUGGCCCCGUUUCAAUGUUAAUUUCCCCUUUCAUCUCUUCGACACCUUCGUUCGAGACACUGACAAUCAACGAUUCGGUAAUCAUACGAACGGGGAUCUGCUUGACAAAGGGAUGAGCUAUUUGGCGAAGGUAAGUGACAGUUUUUUAUUUUUAUUUAUCUUCUACACUUCUGCUUCUGCUUAAAUAUUUAUAAUUGAUUGAACACUGUUCGAUAUAUGUAGGCAAAUGCAGUCUUCGGGCGUUUACGUCCUAGGCAUGUAAAUGCCGAAGCCGAAGAGGAAGCCUUGAGAAGGGAGAACAAUAUGCUGAAGGCGUCACUGGCUCGAGAGAGAAGUGAGCAUGAAGGCAUCCUUCUUGUAAGACCCCAACUUAUUAUAAAUAAAAUUGAAUUUCCUCCAUUUAUUAUUUUGAAAUAGUAAGGGUUGAUUUGAUUAAUAUGGAUAGUUAUGGGUAAAAUACGUAAAUAUUUCAAAUAAGCAAGUAGUUACAAAAUAUUCAUUUGGUCGUGGAAUAUUCUUACUGUCGGGGAAUAUUCGUACGACGGCGCAUGUGAGACCCCAAAUUUUAUAAAUAAAGAUUUAAAUUUCUCAAAAUAUUUUUUUGAAUAUUAAGGUGUGGAUUUGAGAUAAUGUUAUAGUUGGGUAGUAUUUGAAAAUUUUGCAAAGUAUGCAAGUUGUUAUAUAAUAUUCGAUUGGUCGGGGAAUAUUCUUUUUGUCGGGGAAUAUUCGUACGACGACACAAUUAUUGGUGGACCCACAACAGAAGAACUGUCGUAGUUAGAAAAUGACAAAAAUAUUUUAUGAAAAUAACGACGGAGGUUUUACCGUUAAUACUGUUGAACUACUCGGUAGUAAAAGUACAGUAAUACGCGUGGUUGCAUAGUAACACACGGUAUUGAUUAUUGAUGCUUACAUAAGAAGUCACUCAGUUAUACUCAAUUAUUGCUAUAGUAAUUGCUACAUCAUAUCUCUCAUAUUAUUGAUUUGAUUAUUGUCACAGUAUCAUGUGCAUAUAUGUUAUUUUAUUAAAUCAAUAAUUGAGACGAUAAAGUUAUUCAUAUUAUUAAAUUACAAUAUUUAUAAUGUCUAGAAGUUCUGUCAAGGAGAGGUUAGAUAAUCUAAUUGCGCGCCAAUAGGGAGAAAUCCUUAUUGGAAAGCCCCUUCUUUCCUACGAACAACCUGGUUGUUAAAUAUUGAGAGUUAUGAUAUUAAUGAUGGAUAUGUUUGUGUUGAUUAAAGAUGAAUUUGAUAGUUUCAUUGUGUUGGGAUUAUUUGUGUUAAAACAUUUAUUUCGAUAGUAAUUAUGUUUGGAGGUAGUAUUGUUCACUCGAGUAUUUGGGACACUUUUUGUGUCAGAAUUACUAUUCACGAGUCACUAUUCACGAGUUACUAUUCACUAUAAUUACUAUUCACUCUAGUAUUGUUCACUCGAGUAUUUGGGACACUUUUUGUGUCGGAGUUACUAUUCACGAGUUACUAUUCAUGAGUUACAAUUUACGAGUUACUAUUCAUGAGUAUUCACAAGUUACUAUUCACCCGAUUACUAUUCACUCUAUUAUUGUGCAUUCGGGUAUUUGGGUAUAAUAUUAUUCCAUUAGGAUAUGUGCUAAUUUUUCAGACCAUUGGUUGAAUGAAUCGAUAUGGACCGCUGGUGGAAAGUUAUAAUAGUGAAUCAAUAUGGGUCGCUGGUUUAAAGUUUUAAUAGUAAAUCAGUAUGGACCGUCGCUUUAUGUUUUAAUAGUAAAUCGAUCUGGAUCGUUCGUUUAAAAGUAAAUCGAUCUGGACCGUUCAUGAAUUAGUUACUAUUCAUUCCAUUUUUCUAUAAAUAGAAGCUCAUUCCUUCAUUAUUUCUUACGAAUUCACGGAAACUCUAGAGAGAGAAAUUAUAGAGAGAAAGAAAAAGAGUAUUCUGCUACUUCACUACUUUGAUAUCCAGUGUCUUUUACGGUAAGGGGUGUUAUUCUUUCUUCUUGAAGAGAACUUCUGUUAUUCCAUUCUUUAUUAUUCUUCUAGAAUAACCUGUAAAAGUGGCAUACCCUAUACAUAACCUAAUACAUGGCAUACCCUAUACUUGGUGAAAUCCUUAUGUUAUUCCAUUCUUUAUUAUUCUGUUGGAAUAACCUGUGAAAGUGGCAUACCCUAUACAUAACCUGUAUACGUGGUAUACCCUAUACUUGGUGAAAUCCUUAUGUUAUUCCAUUCUUUAUUAUUCUGCUGGAAUAACCUGUAAAAGUGGCAUACCCUAUACAUGACUUGUAUACGUGGCAUACCUUAUACUUGGUGAAAUUCUUAUGUUAUUCCAUUCUUAUUUAUUCUGUUGGAAUAACCUGUAUACGCGGCAUACCCUAUACUUGGUGAAAUCCUUAUGUUAUUCCAUUCUUUAUUAUUCUGUUGGAAUAACCUGUAUGCGCGAUUUACCCUAUACUUGGUGGAAUGACCUGUAUAUGCGGUUUACCCAAUACUUGGUGAUCUUCUUCUGUUAUUCCAUUCUUUAUUAUUAUGUUGGAAUAACUUAUUUAUGCGAAGUACCGCAUACUUGGUGAAUUCUUUUAUUAUUCCGUUCUUUAUUAUUCUGUCGGAAUAUCCUGUCGGUGUAAAUUUCACCUGACCUGCUUCCAUAAUUAUUAUUCUGUUCUUUAUUAUUCUGUCGGAAUAUCCUGUCGGUGUGAAUUUCACCUAACCUGGUUCCAUAUUUAUUAUUCCGCAUUUAUUAUUCUGUUGGGAAUAACCUGUCUGUGCAGUCUCUAUCGCAUGCAUGGUGAAUCCUUCUGUUAUUCCAUUCUUUAUUAUUCUAUUGGAAUAACCUGUCUAUGUGGAUUGCCACAUGCAUGGUGAAUGAUCCUUUGUAUUCAUUCCUUGUUAAAUUGUGGAAAUGAUCUGUAUACGUGGGUUAACGCAUGGCGGGUGAGAAUCCAUUUGCAGUUUCAUAUAUUCUUUAUUAUACUCAGUUGGUUAAAGUUUUGACUUCUAUACUCCAUAAAAUUAGUGGAAUAUCCUUGAUAUUUGCGCUUCAUUCAGUAUCUUUUCAUGGAAAUAUUCUUCUGAGCAUUCUUGACUUUUACUUUACAAAGAAGUAUCAUGUUGACAAUUUGGAUAUUAUUAGUUCCUGGAUAAAUUAAUUCUUGAACUUGUUUAAUUGAAUUCAUAUAACAUUGUCAUCAUCCCAAUGUUUAUAUUAUGUUGAAAGUCAUCUUUGGUUUACGUGCAUAGAUGGACUUAGUAUGAUUAUGACCAGGGAUCAUUGGGUAUAAUCAUGAACUAUGAUGUUAUAAGUGAUGUGGUAAAAGUCCUCAGUGACCUGUAAUGCAUUGAUGGACAGUUUUUGGUAUAAUUAUGACUAGGGAUUUUUCGGUAUAGCCAUGACCGUGGAUGAUUUAAUGAAUAUCCUUGGCUCGUAGUACAGGGGUGAUUAGAAGAUGUGGUUUAUUUAUUAAGUUGAGUCUCAACGUUAAAAGUUGAUGAAAACAUUUUAAAAUCAUAGAAGAUAGUAGGUUUUAUUCUCUACUUAACUCAUCUAAUGGAAUGCUUAUUCCGCUGCAGUUAAACUUGAUGUCUAUUGUAUUUUAUCAGUUUAACAUUGUUGAAGACUAAUGAUAAUUUAUUCUGCAUUAUCUUAGUCAUAAUAUUUCUUAUUGGGCUAGUUGAGCUCACCCUUUCUUUCACUGUUCUCUUCAGGAAAUGAGAAUAUAGCAGGGACUAGUCGGGGACGGAGUAGUCCUCACUAUUCUGUUAAAUAGUAUGACAAUAAAUGCAAUGAUGACUGAAUUUGAGUUUGUAUACUGUCUAUAAGGACUCCAUUGAGAAUGGAUAUUGUCUAGAAGACAAUAUUUGUAUUUAAACUCACAACAUAUGUUUUGUCGUAUUUUACACGACUGCUGUAUUAUUAGUUUGUAUUUGAAUUUUGUACCAUGUAUUUGGCGACUCAAGAUGGGUGAUGUAUACCUAAUUUUGGGGGCGUCACAAUUGGUAUCAAAGCUUAGGGAUAUGAUCCCUGGCUAAGAUAUGAGAUAAGAACUAGGAGGGGAGAGACGAGGAAUUCCUUCGCUAGUAUGACCUACCUAAGUUCAUUUGGUAUUUAAUUGGUCAGUCAGUGUAUAGGGAUAAUGUGUGACAUGUUAAUUAACCCUUGUUUUGUGACAGUGUUUGAGAAUGGCAUCUGAAAAUGCUGAGAUAAGCAAUGAAGCACAUGAGAGUGUUGAUUCAGCUCAAGCGAAAGGUAACGACCAACAACACGAUAUUAAUCAUACUGGUGGCAACGACUAUCGGAACAAUGAUAACCAUCGUAGGGGAAAUUAUCAUGCCAAGAAUGGUAACCACUUCGGUGGUAAUCAUGGCAAAGAUAAUAGAAGUGGAAAUUGCAAGAAGAGAAGGUCAUUUAGCCCAAAUUUGUCGUGUACCAAAGUUAAGUCCAGCUGGGACGGUGGCACCAAAGGCAAAUAUGGACAAAACAAAGUCGUUAGUUUUAAGAAGAGUGUUUUUCAUGACUUCUCAAAAAGCAAGUAAACAAACGAAGUUAGCACGGGUUAGUUAAUUAUAAAUUCUUGCGAAGUCUAUACCUUAUUAGAUAUCGGUUCUACCCAUUCUUUCAUCUCUCUUGCUUGCGUUCAACGUUUAAAUUUGACUCUAGAGAAGUUAGACCAUGACCUAUCAGUUGAAACUCCGUUAGGAGAAACCUUCAUUUCAUGUGCUAUCCAAGUCUUGGAUGAGAGUCACAGUUUUGAAUGAUAUUUUUAUUGUUAAUAAAUUUCCUGACGUAUUCUUGACGACUUCUUAAACUACCCCUAGAGCAUGAAAUCGAAUUUUGUAUUGACCCAAGUACAAAACCUAUUUCUAAAACCCUCAAAUAUUUCAUCAACUAAAAGGAUCUAGUUACGUUGAUUAUAAUGAGAAUCAUAAUAAAAGCGUUGGAAUAAUGAAAAUCAUGGGUAUAUGUGGUAUUAGUAAGUGUUAUGAUGAGUUAUGUUGGUUAUUAUGUGAAAACAUGAAAGUUUCUUAGAAAUCACAAAGGGUUGAAAAUCAGAUUUUGGUGAAAACGGAACAUGAAAUUCAAUUGACCAUAUCUCCUAUUAUAUUUUAAAUUUUUGAGUGUGGUCAAGUCCUAGAGUUAGAUCUAUGAGUUUUGUAGCUUAUCCAAGUGGAAUCACUAGAAAAGGUGUUGUAGAUUUUCGUGUGGACUGAUUUUAGCAAAGGAGUACAAAGCUGCAAAAACCGAAAACGCUACUGCCCAUAAACUUUAAGGGGCUGUUUCGAACACUUAAUUUGUGAGAAAAGUUCUGGCCUUUUGGGACAUGAAAUUAUAUGGUAUAAAGUACCUCCUGUCCAAAAAUGAGAUCAUUCCGACUUAAAAUGAGCAAGUUAUGACCAUUUCAAUAUUUAGGUUUUUCCGACGAAAAACGCUAUAACCAGAGUUCUAUAACUCCGAUGACCAUGAAAUUUAAACUGGAAGCUCACGUUAACAUGUGUAAGUUUUUGCCAAGAUUUGGGAAUUUUUGGAGUUAACCUUGAGGUAGCUAAUUUCUUAAGGAAUUAAUUAGAAAUUAAUUUUUGAAAAAUAGUAAAUAAAUUUUAAAAAUUCCGAGAAAAAUAUAUGGUCAUUAUGGGACUAUAUUCUGCUAAAUCCCAGAAAAUAAAUAUUUUUGAAACUGAUUUGGUAUUUUUCAUGAAAAUG